rnacentral:rRNA from 1 species
UGGGGGAUAUUGCACAAUGGGCGAAAGCCUGAUGCAGCGACGCCGCGUGGGGGAUGAAGGCCUUCGGGUUGUAAACUUCUUUUGCUCUGAACAAGGCAUGCUAAUGGGUGUGUUGAGUGUAGGGGUUGAUUAGCGCCGGCUAACUACGUGCCAGCAGCCGCGGUAAUACGUAGGGCGCGAGCGUUGUCCGGAAUUAUUGGGCGUAAAGGGCUUGUAGGUGGCUGGUUGCGUCUGUCGUGAAAGCUCAUGGCUUAACUGUGGGUUUGCGGUGGGUACGGGCUGGCUUGAGUGCAGUAGGGGAGGGUGGAAUUCCUGGUGUAGCGGUGGAAUGCGCAGAUAUCAGGAGGAAUACCGGUGGCGAAGGCGGGUCUCUGGGCUGUGACUGACACUGAGGAGCGAAAGCAUGGGGAGCGAACAGG